AUUGAACGCUGGCGGCAGGCCUAACACAUGUAAGUCGAACGAGUGGCGGACGGGUGAGUAAUGUCUGGGAAACUGCCUGAUGGAGGGGGAUAACUACUGGAAACGGUAGCUAAUACCGCAUACCAUCGUAUGUGCCCAGAUGGGAUUAGCUAGUAGGUGGGGUAACGGCUCACCUAGGCGACGAUCCCUAGCUGGUCUGCGAGGAAGACCAGCCGAACUGUAGCUGAGGCACAGUCCAGACUACAACGGGAGGCAGCAGUAAGGAGUAUUGCACAAUGGGCGCAAGCCUGAUGCAGCCAUGCCGCGUGUAUGAAGAGGGGCUUCGGGUGGUAAAGUACUUUCAGCGGGGAGGCGUUACCCGCAGAAGAGGCACCGGCGAUCUCCGUGCCAGCAGCCGCGGUAAUUUC
rnacentral:rRNA from 1 species